rnacentral:rRNA from 1 species
CGCAGAUACCAGGUGGCUGCAACUGUUUAUUAAAAACACAGCACUGUGCAAAAUCGUAAGAUGACGUAUACGGUGUGACGCCUGCCCGGUGCCGGAAGGUUAAUUGAUGGGGUUAGCGUAAGCGAAGCUCUUGAUCGAAGCCCCGGUAAACGGCGGCCGUAACUAUAACGGUCCUAAGGUAGCGAAAUUCCUUGUCGGGUAAGUUCCGACCUGCACGAAUGGCGUAAUGAUGGCCACGCUGUCUCCACCCGAGACUCAGUGAAAUUGAAAUCGCUGUGAAGAUGCAGUGUACCCGCGGCUAGACGGAAAGACCCCGUGAACCUUUACUACAGCUUGGCACUGAACAUUGAACCUACAUGUGUAGGAUAGGUGGGAGGCUUUGAAGACGUGACGCCAGUUGCGUUGGAGCCGUCCUUGAAAUACCACCCUUGUAUGUUUGAUGUUCUAACGUUGGCCCCUAAUCGGGGUUGCGGACAGUGCCUGGUGGGUAGUUUGACUGGGGCGGUCUCCUCCCAAAGAGUAACGGAGGAGCACGAAGGUGGGCUAAUCACGGUUGGACAUCGUGAGGUUAGUGCAAUGGCAUAAGCCCGCUUAACUGCGAGAAUGACGGUUCGAGCAGGUGCGAAAGCAGGUCAUAGUGAUCCGGUGGUUCUGAAUGGAAGGGCCAUCGCUCAACGGAUAAAAGGUACUCCGGGGAUAACAGGCUGAUACCGCCCAAGAGUUCAUAUCGACGGCGGUGUUUGGCACCUCGAUGUCGGCUCAUCACAUCCUGGGGCUGAAGUCGGUCCCAAGGGUAUGGCUGUUCGCCAUUUAAAGUGGUACGCGAGCUGGGUUUAGAACGUCGUGAGACAGUUCGGUCCCUAUCUGCCGUGGGCGUUGGAAGAUUGAAGGGGGCUGCUCCUAGUACGAGAGGACCGGAGUGGACGAACCUCUGGUGUUCGGGUUGUGUCGCCAGACGCAUUGCCCGGUAGCUAAGUUCGGAAUCGAUAACCGCUGAAAGCAUCUAAGCGGGAAGCGAGCCCUGAGAUGAGUCUUCCCUGAUACUUUAAGUAUCCUGAAGGGUUGUUCGAGACUAGAACGUUGAUAGGCAGGGUGUGUAAGCGCUGUGAGGCGUUGAGCUAACCUGUACUAAUUGCCCGUGAG